rnacentral:rRNA from 1 species
UACGUAGGUGGCAAGCGUUGUCCGGAUUUACUGGGCGUAAAGAGCGCGCAGGCGGUCGGAUAAGUCGAAUGUGAAAGCCCCCGGCUCAACUGGGGAGGGUCAUUCGAUACUGUUCGACUCGAAGGCAGGAGAGGGGAGUGGAAUUCCCGGUGUAGUGGUGAAAUGCGUAGAUAUCAGGAAGAACACCCGUGGCGAAAGCGGCUCUCUGGAACGGUACUGACGCUGAGACGCGAAAGCGUGGGGAGCGAACAGG